CGCGCACACCCCUUGUUGGCUGGAGCUAAACUAGCUUGCUAAAUCAGUUUAAAUAAGACAGAGCGUGAAAUUUGACUGAUUCAAAUGAUUCUAUUGACUUUUUAUAAAUCCAGAUCACAGAGAUUUAUUGUACACAAAAAACGUUUGCAAAACUGGCUUAGUAGCUAACGACAUUGAAUUUGUACGUGGUUAGCCAAACUAGUUAUGCUAUGCUAGCUUUAGAACAACCAUAACAAACAGUCAUGCUAGCUAGCUAAAUUAUUUAAAUAUACAUAUAUUGAGGGAAGUUGUUGGGGUUUCUAACAGCAAGACAGGCUGGACUUGACGACACACUUUGCCUGAGACGGGCAGAGUCAACAGUGAGGGGGAAAGUUGGCCAAAUCAUCAUCCCAUCUGUGAACACUAUUCCAUUGUUUCUCUGAUGGAUUCCCUUUUAUACGUCCAGUCGGUAUGUCCACAGGUUCAGUGUGCAGUGGUACCCGUUCGACACGGGCAUAAUUGUGUCCAGCUCCUUCGACAAAACCAUGAAGGCCCGGGACACUGAGACACUAAAAGCCCAAUGAAGUGUUCCAGUAUGAAGGGAACGUCUACUGCCACCACAUGUCCCCCAUCUCCAGGAAUCACAGCCUCAUCGUGUGUGUGUGUGUGUGUGUGUUGCUGCGUUUACGCGGCCCAAUUCUGAUAUUUUUUCCAAUUAUUAGUCUUUUGACCAAUCAGACCAAUAAUAGCAAGUUUGUGUGCUUAAAAUAUUAUUUACUGUCUAUAAUAAUCCGUUAUUACAUUUGUAAAGCUCUUUUCAUUAUACAGAAUAAUCUCAAAGUGCAUAAAAUAAAAACCUAUUAGAAAAAAUAAAUGGACACAACUAGACAGUGCAACUGACACAAAGAACACAGCUGACGCUACAAGGAACAGUCUGUCUUACUGAUAUAAUCUAAGAAUGAACAUUGGCUCUACUCUCCAGGCAGAACCAUUCUGUAAACCUGUCAACAAGGUAAUCCUUUGCCCCUUUUGCUAUGCUCAUUCCACAGCAUACUUCUGUUCUGAUGCAAGGCCUGCAGCAAUGAUUCUCUCCACUGAUUUUGAAAGCUGUUCGCAUGACGGCUGAUUGUGAAACAGCGGUGUGGUGGGUUGACAAAGUGUAUGCCCCUUGGGGUCUCAGGAGUUGGAAAUUACUCCGGAACAGUUUAGAUAGACAUGAUAGGAAUCCAGGCGGUGCCCCCCUGCUGACAGAGCAGGACAGACUGGUUGUACAUACCUGCCAAAUCACUUGUUUAACACCCACACUGCUCUCUUUCCUCAUCGCUCUCUCAAUGCAUUUCAAAGGGGCUCUCGCUCUCUCUCUGUGUGUGUGUGUUUUUCGCUCACUUUCUCCAUGUUACUGUCACUGACUCUCCCUUUGUCCGCCCACGCCCCUGGUGCUACUCGGACCAGAAUUAUCAUUUUACUUCUGCCGGGUUUGAAACAAAUGGACUCAAACCUGAUUGUGUCUAUCCCUGUCAAUUAUCUUGCUCCCUGACUGCUCACACCCUCUGUGUGAAUAAUGAUCUGUGUUGUGAGCUCAUGUAUAUCAAUGGCUGGCACAAGUGCUCUCUUAUAUAGCUACACUCCUGUCUCAUCUGAGAGAACCAGGGCCUCCAGUUUCUCCUCUGGGUCACAAAGCAUUUACACACAAAGUGAAAGUAAAGAUGUUUUUCCUUUGUCUUAGUCAUGUAUGUAACCUCUCAAUGAAUCCCUUGAUCUGUGUGUUCUCAGUGGGUACCAAAGACCAGAAAGUACAGUUCUGUGACCUGAAGUCUGGCUCAUGCAUCUAGGUUCUGCAGGGUGAGUGCGCCACACGCACACGCACGCGACACUCAGGUCACAGAGGUGUAGGUUCUAUCUGUCCGGUGGUCGCCAAGAUAUGAGCACAUUUUAGCUACAGCCAGGUAGGCCAAUUAACACCACACCUGAAGAGACACAACAACAACCUCCGUGUCACGCCUUUAGAGACAUGUGCCUCCCUCGGGCACACCAAGAGACCGUUGCAUUGCCUGGGAACUAGCCUCUAUUCCCUGGGAGUGCCAACACAGCUCAGGCAGGCAGCAUGCCCACCUGGUUUACGCCAAAUUAGAUCAGCUAAUUAAACCAUUGGGAUCAUAUCACUGUCCCUUUGGGCUGUAAGUGAUUCGAAAAACAUCUGGGCAUGCUUGAACUGCUCCYGAUAACAUGGGCAAUUGGACAGUGAAGGACACUGUCUUUGGAAAUGUAUGGAGUGACAUUCUUUUUUAAUAUGGAGGGCUAUUUUCAGGAAAUGAGGCACUAGAGCUGGGAAAUUGAAGGGACUAUGUGGCAUUGUGGUAGUUGUAGUGUUACAGAACAGGUUUAACCUCUCUACUGUUAGAAAGCCUGAUCAACUCAGAAUACCUAAGAGUGAACAAAAUUAUUUUGA